GUCCUAUCGACGUUUUGAAAUGCCAGGGGAAAUAAACCGAAAACUCCAAUGAGACGAAGAGCCACAGAGAGAGAGAAACAAAGCCAAAGGUUUAGAGACAAGAGCGUUAGGAUCGAGCCACGGCCCAUAUUCAAAAAUCUCGGUUCCAACCGUGACACACACGGAGAGAGUGGAGUCGGUCCAUCCCAUGUGGAGAAUGGCUCGUGCCAGCCAACGGAGAAUCCCUGGAGUCCGCGAUAUGCGCAGUUGUUCUUCCCUGAGGAAGACAAAUGAUCCACUCGGACGCGAGACAGUUAGCGUAUCCGCGGGGAGGCUUGAACGUCGUCGACGGUGAAGAAGAGGAUGAAGAGGAAGAAGGAGACGAAAGAGAGGAAGAGGCUUGGUUUCUCUGUCUUCGUUGCUUUCGCGCGUGGAAGAUGAGCGCGCGCGCGCGCCUUCGGGCAGGCGGACUCGUUCGCUUGAUCCCGUGCCAUUACGAUAUUAAUGUAAUGCCGCUAAAAAGGUGUGUUUGCUCGGUUAGGUGGCGAGGGAGAGGGGAGCCGAGGCGAGGAUCGAGCCCACGUAGGAUAGUCUUGCCAGAUAUGGCGUGUGCCUGUGCCGCGGCCACCACCACGGUUAUCGUCGUCGCCACCAUCGCCGUCACCGUCAUCGUCCUCUUUGCUCGUUCUUCGCGGCGACUCUACACCCGGCUGAUCCCUCUGCCGGUUUAAGGAGAACGAUUAGACCAGCCGCGAAACGACACCUGAGUCUUCGAUUCUUUUCUUUCUUUCUUUUUUUUUUUUUCCUUUUGCCUCGCCCAAUUUGGUCCUUGCUCCGUGUGCUUACCAACGCACGCGACUUGUCCAGGGUUUUAUCGAGAACGCGUUUCGUAUCUCCGGAUAUAUAUAUAUCUAUUGUUCUCUCGCUGCAACGGACCUCUCGGAUCGAAAUAAACGCCGCGAAUCUUUCGUUCGUUUAAAAAGUUGUAGGAAACGCCCGAGGGUACACCGGUUAAUGGAGAACUCGGCGUACGGAGCGAGCGGGGGGAAAAAGGCUCUACUCGAGUAAUCGAAGACCGAGAAAUUAUAGUGUCAGAUAUCCGGCGUUGCUCGCCAGUCGUGGAAAUCAUUAUCGUUGGAUUUAUGAUUCUUUAAACGAUCGAUCAGGUGAGAGACGCGUUGGCUCUCGCCAACAGUAUACGUAGUGAAGUACGUCGGGCGUUCUCCGUUUCAGUUUCAUCGUGCACGCCGCACGAUACGACCGCUGAAUUUCCGUCCCGCCUCGGCCGGUGACUGUUCUCUUCCUCCAAGAGUCUUUCGUUCUUUCCUUGUUUCGUUUAGUCACGAGGUCACUCGCGACCUCGUAUCUUUAUUCGGUCAUGGAGCGGCAAUGAGAGCGUCUGCCUGCGCGCGUGAUAUUCACGCCCGUUGAUCUCGAUUACCGGCGACGCCGACGCCGGUCGUCGCUGAAACGCUCCGAGGGGAAGUUGCAACCCUUUUUAGCUAGAGGGUAUACGCACGUCGGCAUAGUCGUUUUGACAUAAUUGCGAAAACUGGACUGACCUGUUUUCGAUACCUCUAUGCUCGCUGGAGGACAUCUUCUGCCGGUUUUAUCUUUCGAGCAUCGCGUGCAAUUCUGCCGCGUUGUAAUGAUAAAACGUGUCGCGUCGCGGAACGACAGAGCAAAGGAAAAGGAUAGAACGAGUGGGAGAGAGAUUAAGAUCGAAUCGUAUCGAACCGUAGUUUCAGCUAGCGCGAAGGACGUCAUUAACUUUUACAGUUGCAGCUACCACUCGCUCGUAAACGCAGCUCGCCUCGUUACUUAGCAGCUCGCUAAGGAUUCCGUGUUUUUCAAUUUUAAUGGCCACAAUUAACGAAUAGGAAUCGUCGCUUUAUGGGAACUUUCGAGAGAUAUCGCCCCAAUUUAUCUCGAUCUUCUAAUUCACAUUGAAUGGAGCUAUUUUUUUGGUCAAUAUUAGAAAUUUGAACGCCACUCGGUCUGUUACGAUCCAGUUAUUUCUAGCUCUAGUGAUCGAAAACCUCGAGGAAGAAAAUAAAUUAUACGUGUGAGAACGGACGGCUCGAUGAUGUCGACCAAGUAGUCAAUCGGUAGCGAAACGUAAAAACGCAGGCUUCGUCGCUCUUCGUGCGAGUAUUGCUUUUUGCGGUUUUCUCCUCCCUCCGUUUGGCCCGAAGACAGAGCAUCGUGCUGCCUUUCAAAUCGUAAUACGCGUGACGUGCUUCUGGCACGCGUCGAAACCUGCACUUAACGAACCACUUGUGCCCCUAAUAUUACGUGCCAGCCAAGCGGAUAUUUAUCCCUACGCGCGUAAAGAUAACGCAUGCCUUCGGCUCGUGCCCAAAUACGCGUGGCUCUUGUUCUCUUAUCUAACGUAGAAACUAUCAACUGGAUAAAAUCUUAUUACACAUAUGUAUUUACGAUAG